rnacentral:rRNA from 1 species
AUUGAACGCUGGCGGCGUGCUUUACACAUGCAAGUCGGACGAGUGGCGAACGGGUGAGUAACGCAUCGGAACGUACCGAGUAAUGGGGGAUAACUGUCCGAAAGGCCAGCUAAUACCGCAUACUAUUCGAGCGGCCGAUGUCUGAUUAGCUGGUUGGGGGGGUAACGGCCCACCAAGGCGACGAUCAGUAGCGGGUCUGAGAGGAUGAUCCGCCACACUGGGACUGAUACACGGCCCAGACUCCUACGGGAGGCAGCAGUGGGGAAUUUUGGAAAAGGGGCGCAAGCCUGAUCCAGCCAUGCCGCGGGUAUGAAGAAGGCCUUCGGGUUGUAAAGGACUUUUGUCAGGGAAGCGUUACCUGCAGAAUAAGCACCGGCUAACUACGUGCCAGCAGCCGCGGUAAUAC